AGACACAUCGAUGAAAAAACUUUGGUACAUGAACCUAACCUGAUAUUUCUGAGUUUAAGUGAUAUAUUGCAAUUAUUACUGUUUUUGAUAUCAUUGUUCUCUUAGGGAGUUCAUAUAUGCUGUGCCAUGAAUUUGAUAAUUACAUGUUGGGUCUAUGGGAUUUUUAUGUGAAAUUAAAUAUAUACAUUGGAAUGUUGUAUGCAUACUGUUACCCUUCAAAAUACUGUUUCAAUAGAUCUGAAAAUUUUGAAGCCUAUACUUAUUGAUACUUGAGCCAUCACAUAUUUGGAACUCUUCUCUUAUAAAGGUGAAAGCUUCUAAACCAAAUUUAAAUCAACCAUAUUUAAGAUAUUAUAAGAUGCAGUGGAUUGCUGUUGUAUGGGAUGUAUUGAAACUUACUAUAAAAGAAAGGGCUUAUGGAAACUUAAUGCCAGAGUUGGCAAACAGGGGUAGAACUUCUAUUUAGAACUGUAAAAUUUCUCUUUAGAACUUAGAACAUAGUUUAAAGGCCUUGCUUAGAAUUAAAUAAAAUUUGAAGAAUAUGUGAAAGAUCUAAACCUUGUAACAACGUCAAGCAAGCAUUAAAACUCAAACAAGCAUGCAACUGUCAAUGCCAUAAUCUUGUAGUAUACAGCGUUAAAAGUCAAAUGAGCAUGAACUUUCCAUUAUUGACACUUUGGAUGAACAUUGUACAUCUUAUGAUUGCAAGAAUACUAAACAUAUAACUGUUUUAUACCUAGUGUUGAAACUGAUGUAGGACCAGACCUAUAAUUGCUAGAGCAGUCCAAAGUCCAAACUUCUAGAUGACCUGAUAAAAAAUAUCAAUAUAGUUAGCCUUUAUGUAGCAAUUUAUAUCAAAUUAUCAAUAUACUUUACAGGCCUUUUGUUAGAAUUCCAAGUCAAAUAGAAUUAGGAUUUAAUUAAUGAAAAUUAAAAAAAAAAGGAUUUGAGAGUUUGAAAUUCAGUCAAACAUUGAAUUGAAGCUGGAGUAGGAAAAGAAAGUUCAAUUUGGACUUCUUGUGUUUCAUCCACUAGUGCCCUAUAUAAUGUGGAGUGGCCAUAAUUUGUAGUUUUGUACAAGUUAAUGAGUGCCGUACAUGGCCAUUGCGUGAGGUUUAUUUCUUUUGAAGAAUAGUGUAGUAGAAAGCAGUAAGGGUCACAAUUGUGGAGGGUGAUUUGUGAGAGAUUUUGAGGUAGAAAAAUAAUUAGUAUUUGUAA
rnacentral:misc_RNA from 1 species